CUGCCCCUGUCAGGGGGACAACCCGCCGAAAGGCGGGCUAAACCCGCGUACAUGCCACCGGGGCAUCCCGGAGGCAGGAAAGGCUUCGGCCGGACAGGGAUGGGCAUGCGGCGCAUUAGGCAGUAGGCGGGGUAACGGCCCACCUAACCGACGAUGCGUAGGGGUUCUGAGAGGAAGGUCCCCCACACUGGUACUGAGACGCGGACCAGACUCCUACGGGAGGCAGCAGUGAGGAAUAUUGGUCAAUGGUCGGGAGACUGAACCAGCCAAGCCGCGUGAGGGAUGAAGGUACAGAGUAUCGUAAACCUCUUUUGUCAGGGAACAAAGGCGGGGACGUGUCCCCGGAUGAGUGUACCUGAAGAAAAAGCAUCGGCUAACUCCGUGCCAGCAGCCGCGGUAAUACGGAGGAUGCGAGCGUUAUCCGGAUUUAUUGGGUUUAAAGGGUGCGCAGGCGGUCUGUUAAGUCAGCGGUCAAAGCCCGGGGCUCAACCCCGGCCCGCCGUUGAAACUGGCAGUCUCGAGUUGGAGAGAAGUAUGCGGAAUGCGCGGUGUAGCGGUGAAAUGCAUAGAUAUCGCGCAGAACUCCGAUUGCGAAGGCAGCAUGCCGGCUCCACACUGACGCUGAGGCACGAAAGCGUGGGUAUCGAACAGGAUUAGAUACCCUGGUAGUCCACGCAGUAAACGAUGA
rnacentral:rRNA from 1 species